rnacentral:rRNA from 1 species
UACGUAGGGUGCAAGCGUUAAUCGGAAUUACUGGGCGUAAAGCGUGCGCAGGCGGUUGUGUAAGUCAGAUGUGAAAUCCCCGGGCUCAACCUGGGAAUUGCAUUUGAGACUGCACGGCUAGAGUGUGUCAGAGGGGGGUAGAAUUCCACGUGUAGCAGUGAAAUGCGUAGAUAUGUGGAGGAACACCGAUGGCGAAGGCAAUCCCCUGGACCUGUACUGACGCUCAUGCACGAAAGCGUGGGGAGCAAACAGG